GAUGUGCUUAGACUAUGUCUAAGCCUGGGUUUCCCCCACCGGGGUUCUGAGCCCUUGAAGGAAGUGUACCUGGCAUUGGGACGCUUUGGAGAAGCAACUACUCUAGAGGCCCGUGUGUGUUUGUGUGUGUCUGGUGGAAAGAAAGAAAGAAAAGAAAAGAAAAGAGAAAGAAAGAGGAAGAGGAGGAAGAGGAAGAAGAACCAGAUGGAGAAAAAGAACAAGAAAUGGCAGCUUCAUGCCACCUCAGCUGUCCUGAAGGAUAGAGUUCAUGGGUGCCUCAAUGCGUGGUGACAUACAUAACGAGUGACAAAGAGACAACAGUGACAUCCCAGUGAAAGGACACACCACCAAGAAGCUUCUUGUUGAUGGGAUCCCUUGUGAGUCGGAUCAAAAGCUUUGAUACAAGAGAUUAUCUGGGCAUAGUGGUGUGCACCUGUAAUCCCAGCUACUCGGAGGCUGAGGCAGGAGAAUCACUUGAACCUGGGAGGUGGAGGUUGCAGUGAGCUGAGAUCUUGCCACUGCACUCCAGAGUGGGCAACAGAGUGAGACUCCAUCUCAAAAAAAUAAAUAAAUAAAAUAAAAAUAAAAAGAGUUGUUGAAGUCUUGCCUUCCUCUUGGAGCAUCCCCUCAAGAGCUGUUUCAAUAUCUCUUUCCUCACAGAUAUCAUUAGGGUGCAGCAGAGUUCUAAGGUACUGAUAAGGCUUCAAAUAAAAACCUAUCUGACAAAAGAGUACAGUCUUGU
rnacentral:lncRNA from 1 species